UAUGGCCAUGACAUGUCGAAACACCGGUUCAAAUACGAUCACCGAUGUUAAGCAACGUCGAGCCUGGUCAGUACCUAGAUGGGUGACCACUUUCGAAUAUCAGGUGCUGUAAG